AUGGUUCAGGUGGAAUAACUGUCAUAAUCUACCAACCAAUUUUUGUCAUAAGAGACUAGUUCAUAUCGACCUAUCGUUUAGCAUGAUUGAACAAGCUUGGGAUAUUAGGCCUCAAGAUGAAAAUAAGCAGUUCCAAAAACUGAAGGUUCUCGAUCUUAGUGUUUGUGGAUAUCUAUCAAAGUCCCCAGACUUUUCAUGGUUUCCUUUCUUGGAGCAAUUAAAUCUUGGAUACUGCAGAUCCUU